GGGGUCGUACUUGGUUUCGACGGGUUAUAGUCUUGAUUUAGUUGCAGGUGGCAUGCAAACUCCUAAGAUGCAAACAGUUUAAAUUAACUGACAAUAAAAAUUAUAAUACUGCUCUUGCAUUCGCAUAAUUUUGCGAUUGAGCGCUGAUAGUUUAAUUAUUUCGUAGUUCUACUAUUGGUUUAUAUAUACGAAAUAUAGUUAUUAAUUUUAGAUUUUAGAUUAAUAAUCGAAUAUUAUAAAAUCUAGUAAGUAUUAGUUUGUUAAAAUACGUUUACUUAUGAAAUUAUUAUUUUAACUAAACCUGUAGACGCUACUUAGAAGAGUAAUUCGGACAUGAGUUCAAUUCUCAUCGGCUCCACCA
rnacentral:tmRNA from 1 species